rnacentral:rRNA from 1 species
GGAGCACGCCGCGUGAGUGAUGAAGGCUUUCGGGUCGUAAAACUCUGUUGUUAGGGAAGAACAAGUGCUAGUUGAAUAAGCUGGCACCUUGACGGUACCUAACCAGAAAGCCACGGCUAACUACGUGCCAGCAGCCGCGGUAAUACGUAGGUGGCAAGCGUUAUCCGGAAUUAUUGGGCGUAAAGCGCGCGCAGGUGGUUUCUUAAGUCUGAUGUGAAAGCCCACGGCUCAACCGUGGAGGGUCAUUGGAAACUGGGAGACUUGAGUGCAGAAGAGGAAAGUGGAAUUCCAUGUGUAGCGGUGAAAUGCGUAGAGAUAUGGAGGAACACCAGUGGCGAAGGCGACUUUCUGGUCUGUAACUGACACUGAGGCGCGAAAGCGUGGGGAGCAAACAGGAUUAGAUACCCUGGUAGUCCACGCCGUAAACGAUGAGUGCUAAGUGUUAGAGGGUUU